rnacentral:rRNA from 1 species
GGACGAACGCUGGCGGCGUGCUUAACACAUGCAAGUCGAGCGGUAAGGCCCUUUCGGGGGUACACGAGCGGCGAACGGGUGAGUAACACGUGGGUGACCUGCCCUCAGCUCUGGGAUAAGCCUGGGAAACUGGGUCUAAUACUGGAUAUGACUCCACGGUGCAUGUCGUGGGGUGGAAAGCCUUGUGCGGCUGAGGAUGGGCCCGCGGCCUAUCAGCUUGUUGGUGGGGUGANGGCCUACCAAGGCGACGACGGGUAGCCGGCCUGAGAGGGCGACCGGCCACACUGGGACUGAGACACGGCCCAGGACUCCUACGGGAGGCAGGCAGUGGGGAAUCUUGCGCAA